GCAAUCAGGUCAAUGGCAAUGGGAAUCAGUUAAAAAGGAAACAUGAAUCGAUGUGUCCUGUGUCACUCACACAGAAUACUGUCAGACUGAUGGAGGCAGGUCUCCCUCAGAAGCAGGCAGAAAGGGCUGAUGAGCUAUUUGAGGCAGGCUUGGUAAUUUACGUCAAGCUUGAUGAACGAGUACUGAAUGCUCUCAUAUAGCUCUGUGGGGCUUCAAUGGUUCAAAGAAAGUGAUUUGUCACACCUUAGGCUCUUAGAGAUUUCUUUUCGCUGAUUAUUUGUUCUAGGACAAAAUACAUUUCUGUGUCAGGUGAGAUCAGCAAACAAAGGAAGAAAUGUGAGCAAGUUGUGAGAAUCCACAAAGAGAUCUGAUGAAGGCUUUGGUUGAGUGGAUCAGCUGUGUGUUGGAUGCAACCACAGGUCAGAGGAAACAGGGCAAUAUUCCUUCAGAUGGUGUGUAACUCUGGUGUGCUGCCUGGAACGGGAACCAUUACUUUUGUUGAUAAGACACCAGGAGAUUUAACUGAGGGUGAGUUUGUGCUGCUUUUGAGGAUGGACUUGCUUGAGAUCUAUAUUGUAUGACUAGUCCAAACAGAAAGUAUGCAUUUAGGAUCUUCUGUGAAAGGACACUGCACUGUGUGAUGGCCAUGGAGUUUGCCCUGGAGUCUGCAUUUCUGUGGCAAGCAACAGGCUGGAGCGAUUCCACAAUGUAAGACAAAGAAAAAGAUUCCAAAAGACAUCUGUGAUGUUACACAGUUUGGUCCGUGUUAUUCUCUAUCAUCUAUGCUUCUGCUUCUUUGAGAAUUUCCAGUUAGCUGCACAAGCCAGAGCCUAGAUAAUGAGUGGAAACGUAAAAUAUUAGUGAAGUGUACUUCAAGUUGAAUGGAUUAAUCCUGUAGACUAAAGAGACCCAGAACUUGUGGCCAACUAUCCUUUUAUUUGGGAGAAUCUUGACUAUCACAGUGAUAAAAAAAAAUAUUGAAUAUACCAUUUCUUGAAUUUAGAAAACUUGAAAGGAUGAAGAAGUUGAAGUAUUAUGCAUUUGCUCACAAGCCGGAG
rnacentral:lncRNA from 1 species